ACCAACCAGCCAAGGGCUUCUUGGUUUUAUCCCUUCUUCAGCAUACUUGAUUUUUGUUUUGUUCUACUGUUCCAGGGAUUGGAGUUUUGAGUAUCUCACACGAAUUGCAGAAAUGUUGCAGAGUUACUUGGAAGUGGAGCCACAAUGCAACUUCAGAAGUUCUGUUUAGUUGCAGGAUUGAUAUAAGGUAUAUCUGGUACAGAGGUUCAAAGAAAAUAUCAUAGUGAACAAUUAUGCAGAUAUCAAUUAAAAAGUAAAUAUAUUCCCAAUGACACACCUUGAGGAAUGAGCUUGCAUCCUGGUUCUAGCAAGAUAAAUGGAAGCAUUUGCAACAGGACUUCUAGAAGGAUUUCUGCCCUGCUCCCUUUUGGACUCUUGAAUCUCAUGCUGAAAGAAGGAAAAGCCUGAAGCCUGCUGCAAACUAGAAGAAAAACUUGUCUCCUGGAAAGAUAGAUAUUUCACACAGUAACUAUGAAAGACAGUAACGUUAGCAUGUAACAAAUAAAACUCACAAUGAUAUAAA